CCUGCGGAAGGAUCAUUGUCGAACCCUCGCGGUAGAAUGACUUGCCAACCUGUACCAAUUAUUGAUUCGAGUGUCGGGGUGCUGUCUUUCUGAUUUGCCCAGACGAACAAAAACACCGGCGCAGCAGCGCCAAGGAAUAUAAUAAUGAGUGUGCAACCUUGCAGAGCUCAAUUAUGUUGCCUGUGAGCUUCGCAUCCUUUUAAUAAAAAUGACUCUCGGCAAUGGAUAUCUCGGCUCUUGCAUCGAUGAAGAACGUAGCGAAAUGCGAUACUUGGUGUGAAUUGCAGAAUCCCGUGAACCAUCGAAACUUUGAACGCAAGUUGCGCCUCAAGCCAUUGGGUUGAGGGCACGUCUGCUUGGGUGUCAUGCACUAUGUCUCCCCUCUCGUGUGUGGAGUGGGAAUAGAUCCUGGCCUCCUGGGCCCUUCCUUGGGCGUGGUUGGCCGAAAAUGUUGUCCUGGAUUUUGUUGAUGUCUUGGUGAGCGGUGGAUGUGCCAGGGGUGCAUAGUUGCCAGCCUUGCUCGACUUCAUUGUGGCGUUGGGAUCCUAUGAAGCUGCCGUUUUUUGCUCUUUGAUUGCGAACCCAAGUCAGGCGAGACUAC
rnacentral:rRNA from 1 species